rnacentral:rRNA from 1 species
UGGCGAACGGGUGAGUAAUAUAUCGGAACGUGCCUAGUAGCGGGGGAUAACUACUCGAAAGAGUAGCUAAUACCGCAUACGCCCUACGGGGGAAAGGGGGGGAUCGCAAGACCUCUCACUAUUAGAGCGGCCGAUAUCGGAUUAGCUAGUUGGUGGGGUAAAGGCCCACCAAGGCGACGAUCCGUAGCUGGUUUGAGAGGACGACCAGCCACACUGGGACUGAGACACGGCCCAGACUCCUACGGGAGGCAGCAGUGGGGAAUAUUGGACAAUGGGCGCAAGCCUGAUCCAGCAAUGCCGCGUGUGUGAAGAAGGUCUUCGGAUUGUAAAGCACUUUCGACGGGGACGAUGAUGACGGUACCCGUAGAAGAAGCCCCGGCUAACUUCGUGCCAGCAGCCGCGGUAAUACGAAGGGGGCUAGCGUUGCUCGGAAUGACUGGGCGUAAAGGGUGCGUAGGCGGCAAUGCAAGUCAGACGUGAAAUUCCCGGGCUUAACCUGGGGACUGCGUUUGAGAC